rnacentral:rRNA from 1 species
AUGGCAUCAUCCACUGAUACAGAUAUGCUGGAAGAGAAUGUGCCCGCCAAGACAACUACUGUUCAAGUGAAAUGGUGUGGCAAUGAUUAUGAUGUGGUGGUACAAUCUGAUGCCGAUGUUGGAGAGCUAAAGCGACGUGUCGAACAAGAUACAGAACUUCCUUCCAAGAGGCAAAGACAUAUAAACACUCAGACAAAUGAUGAAUUGGCUGAUAAUUAUCGUGUUUCUCUGUUGGACAGUCCACCCACGACGUUUCUCAUUGGGUUGAACAAACCGGACCUUUCACUCUACUCGCGGUAUUUUUCUUAUGACAACGCAAACCGCAGCUGCUCUGUCAAGGCCAUUAAGCUAGCGAAGAAAAAAGACUUCCUUUCUGAUUUUCAUGAGAUGCCUACUGCCUUCUUCAGAGGAACCUACACUCUAGGGAGUUUCACCACUGAUUGCCUCUUGAAGUGGUAUGAUACUAAAGACAAAGUUCUUUCUUCGCUCCGACUGAUGAGCACCUGGAGGCACCCAAAUGUGGUGGUGUUGCAGAAUAUCUACAAGCUGCACCCAGAUUAUCGUCUUGUAAUAUCCACCAGCUCUUUUGAUGGUACCUUAAAUGGAUGGCUCAAGCAUGGUGAAAAGAACAAGAUUGAAGAGAACAGGAUUUUAAAUAUGGAUGGAAAAUUCACCCCUGUUUUCAGCAGAAUCACACUAGAUCUACUUGAUAUCUUGGACAAGAUGAUUAGACGUAAGAUGUGUCCGAAAGACCUUACAGUUGACAACCUAUAUCUGAAGACUGUGAAUGGUCAACCUCAACUUAAAGUAUUCUUCGAUGAUGUUGAGGAUCUCAGGGGUAAGGCUCAAACGUAUACGGAAAAACUAUAUGUGAAACUAUGUGCGGAGAUAAAGAAAAUUAUUGCAGCCGACGUUUUGAUACAAAUGCACACAGGGACCAGGGCGUACUGUGAUUUCAUUGAGAAACAUGGUCCUGACUGCAUUGGCAAAAAUUUGGCAAAACUUGCCAAGUUUUAUCCCAUUGAGUGGAAUGAUGAAGACAAGAGCAAGUAUCUCAUUGACAUAUUCUCAUCAACUCGAGAUUGUAGUGCGGCUCUUAAUGCUUGUGGAAUAAGAUGGCCAAGAAAUGAGUCUGAAGAUGACAUGUGUCAGGAGCUGAAAACAUUAAAAGAAAUGAUGGAAAGAGCGAACAUAGAGAACAACAAAAGGAAGGCGGAGCUGAAACUUCAAGGAGCCGAGGGUAGAGCUGCGGCCAACAAGAUCAGGGAAUACAUAUGGAACUGUGAUAUUGACUAUCCAAAUGAUCUUGUCAGGCUCGUGAGGAACCUAUGGAAGCAUUUCUCCACGUACCCUCGCUACAUUAAGACGCACCUUGGGGGUAGCCAAAGUGCUGUUUUGCGCAAGUUCGAGCAGUGGUGCCCUGAUGCCUGGACGUUGAUCUACAACACCGUGGGCCAACCAUGA